rnacentral:rRNA from 1 species
AUGCCCCCCGGCGGGCGGCGGAGGCGGGGGCUAGGGUUUGCGGUGCGGAAGGAGGAGAUGAACAAGGGCCGGCGCGGCGGCGGCGGCUGCGGCCGCUCGGGAGAUCCGACCCCCGAGCCGAAGAGGUCGUCCUCGUCGAGCUCGAAGGCCGCCGAGGCGGGCUGGUCGCCGGCGGCCGCGCGGGGGAGGAAUGCGCCGAGGAAGCGCUCGGAGCUGGGCGAGCUCUUGUGGCGCGCGCGAUCCAUGGCGAGCGCGAGGCGAGGCUGUGCGGGCGGGCGGUGUAACGUCUGGCGCCGUAUUUGCGAUUGA